rnacentral:rRNA from 1 species
CAAGCGGUGGAGCAUGUGGUUUAAUUCGAUGCAACGCGAAGAACCUUACCUGGGCUUGACAUCCCGAGAAUCCCCUGGAAACAGGGGAGUGCCUUUCGGGGAGCUCGGAGACAGGUGCUGCAUGGCUGUCGUCAGCUCGUGUCGUGAGAUGUUGGGUUAAGUCCCGCAACGAGCGCAACCCUUGCCUUUAGUUGCCAUCAUUCAGUUGGGCACUCUAAAGGGACUGCCGGUGUCAAGCCGGAGGAAGGUGGGGAUGACGUCAAGUCCUCAUGGCCUUUAUGCCCAGGGCUACACACGUGCUACAAUGGGCGGUACAAAGAGAAGCGAGCCCGCGAGGGGGAGCAAAUCUCAGAAAGCCGUCCUCAGUUCGGAUUGCAGUCUGCAACUCGACUCCAUGAAGUUGGAAUCGCUAG